CCGAGUUAUACAACUCCUCAACCCCUGUGAACAUACCUAAUAUGUUGCCUUCGGCGGAAUCAGCCCGCGCCCUGUAAAACGGGACGGCCCCGCCAGCAGGAUCCACUAACUCUGUUUUAUAAUCGUACUUUCUGAGUAACAAGCAAAUAAAUCA
rnacentral:misc_RNA from 1 species